rnacentral:misc_RNA from 1 species
AACCAUAGAAACCUGCGGAGUACCUGCGGAGGGAUCAUUAUAGUAUAUGGAAUCUCCAUUCUAUAAACCCACUCUGCGCAUCUUGUAACUGUUGCUUCCAUGGGACUUGGUUCCGCCACACCGGCUUCACGGCUGGUGAGCGCCCAUGGAAGGAGAAACAAAACUCUUCUUUGAAAUGUAGUCAGUCUGAACAAGUUUUUAUAAACGUUAAAACUUUUAACAAUGGAUCUCAGAUCGGAA